UAUGAAUACAUUAAAAUUAAGCCUGGUAAAACCAUUUGAAUCACAUUGAAACUAUUCGGUCAUCUAAAAUAACAUCCUGAUUAUAAACAGAUAUUUCAGUUUUCAACCUCUUCGCUCAAAUUAUGAUAACAAUAAUAAAAUAAAUCAUCCUGUUUUUGUAGUUUGAGUUCUCCUCGUACUAAUUUUUAGUAUGCAACACAGGCAAUACACUACAGAAAGGCCAGGUGUUCCCAAAAGAAAAUAUUUGAUUCAGUGAAAAGGACCAAAGCUUCAACUUCGGACCACAUAAUCAUACAGCCGUAAUGAAACUAUGUUAUAUGGUUUAGAACACAAUUUUCCCAUAAGUUACAAAUCACUUAUAUUCCUCUUGGAGUUGGAAGCAAAACCGUAUCUCUGAAGGAAGAGACACUAUAUCGUUUACAAUACGAUUUCCCCUCAAGUUCUGCAAAAUUCUGAAUAUUCAGCAAGCUAUUCACAGCUCACAGCAGGAGUAUACUUCAACAGCAGCUGCAGAGUGGCAGCAUAUAUAGAGGAUGAGAUGAAGUGGGAAUUGAGCACCACCACAAA